rnacentral:rRNA from 1 species
UACGUAGGGUGCAAGCGUUGUCCGGAAUUAUUGGGCGUAAAGAGCUCGUAGGCGGUCUGUCACGUCGGCUGUGAAAACCCGAGGCUCAACCUCGGGCCUGCAGUCGAUACGGGCAGACUAGAGUUCGGUAGGGGAGACUGGAAUUCCUGGUGUAGCGGUGAAAUGCGCAGAUAUCAGGAGGAACACCGGUGGCGAAGGCGGGUCUCUGGGCCGAAACUGACGCUGAGGUGCGAAAGCGUGGGGAGCAAACAGG